rnacentral:rRNA from 1 species
CCUACGGGUGGCAGCAGUGAGGAAUUUUGGUCAAUGGACGAGAGUCUGAACCAGCCAAGUAGCGUGAAGGAUGACUGCCCUAUGGGUUGUAAACUUCUUUUAUAUGGGAAUAAAAUGUUCCAUGUGUGCGUUUUUGUAUGUACCAUAUGAAUAAGGAUCGGCUAACUACGUGCCAGCAGACGCGGUAAUACGGAGGAUCCGAGCGUUAUCCUGAUUUAUUGGGUUUAAAGGGAGCGUAAGGGGAUUGUUAAGUCAGUUGUGAAAGUUUGCGGCUCAACCGUAAAAUUGCAGUUGAUACUGGCAGUCUUGAGUACAGUAGAGGUGGGCGGAAUUCGUGGUGUAGCGGUGAAAUGCUUAGAUAUCACGAAGAACUCCGAUUGCGAAGGCAGCUCACUGGACUGAAACUGACACUGAGGCUCGAAAGUGUGGGUAGCAAACAGGAUUAGAUACCCGAGUAGUC